rnacentral:tRNA from 1 species
AUUUUUUUAGUACAAAUAGUAUAAUUGAUUUCCAUUCAAUAGAUUUUUAAUAAAAAGAAAUA